GAUGCAAGACUUGAAAUUCCACCAAGGUUAGACAAAAAAGGUGUAUUUCAGAGGGUGGUAGAGAAGAGAGCUGUUUAAGGUAAUUGAACUGUGGGAUUUAGUCUACAUGAUCCUCCAGAGCUGAUACCCCUCAUCCUUUCUUUUCCAGAGAAAUCUGGGCUCAUCUACAUUUAAAUUCCAGGUCAAGCCUCACAGCCUCCCUCAGCAGUGCUUAAUCCUUCCAUCCAUCCCUAGAAAUUUGCGUCUAAGCCUUCGAAAGGUUGAGCAGAUUCAGAUGUCCUGGAGAAGCUUGUGGGAGCGACAUUGCCUGAGGAGGUGGAGCCAGUUUGGGAAGGGCUCUGAAUGCUGUCUUGAUGAAUUUAGUCUUUAUCCCAGAGGAUCCAGGAAGCCACCCUAAGUGAAACAAUGCAAUGAAACUCUUAGAAUGGUUUCACUCUGUUUGAGUGUGGAGGACAAAGGAGGAGUCUUGGAGAGAUUCCAUGUUUCUGGUGAAUAUGGUUGCAUGAUGUAACAUUUCAUAGAGUCCCAGCCUCUGCGGAAAGGUGAGUCAAGCUAAAGGCA
rnacentral:lncRNA from 1 species